rnacentral:rRNA from 1 species
AUUGAACGCUGGCGGCAGGCCUAACACAUGCAAGUCGAACGAGUGGCGGACGGGUGAGUAAUGUCUGGGAAACUGCCCGAUGGAGGGGGAUAACUACUGGAAACGGUAGCUAAUACCGCAUACCAUCGGAUGUGCCCAGAUGGGAUUGGCUAGUAGGGGGGGUAACGGCUCACCUGGGCGACGAUCCCUAGCUGGUCUGAGAGGAUGACCAGCAAAACGGGAACGGAGACACGGUCCAGACUCUUACGGGAGGAAGCAGUGGGGAAUAUUGCACAUGGGGCGCAAGCCUGAUGCAGCCAUGCCGGGUGGAUGAAGAAGGCCUUCGGGUUGUAAAGUACUUUCAGCGAGGAGGCGUUACUCGCAGAAGAAGCACCGGCUAACUCCGUGCCAGCAGCCGCGGUAAUAC